rnacentral:rRNA from 1 species
UAAGCCAUGCAUGUCCAAGUGCAUGCCGCAUUAAGGUGAAACCGCGAAUGGCUCAUUAAAUCAGUUAUGGUUCCUUAGAUCGUACCAUCCUACUUGGAUAACUGUGGUAAUUCUAGAGCUAAUACAUGCCGACCAGCUCCGACCUUCGGGGACGAGCGCUUUUAUUAGAACAAGACCAAUACGGAUCCGCAAGGGUCCGUUCCCGUUUGGUGACUCUGGAUAACUUGGAGCCGAUCGCACGGUCUUCGCACCGGCGACGCAUCUUUCAAAUGUCUGCCUUAUCAACUGUNGAUGGUAGGUUAUGCGCCUACCAUGGUUUUUACGGGUAACGGGGAAUCAGGGUUCGAUUCCGGAGAGGGAGCCUGAGAAACGGCUACCACAUCCAAGGAAGGCAGCAGGCACGCAAAUUACCCACUCCCGGCACGGGGAGGUAGUGACGAAAAAUAACAAUACGAGACUCUUCCGAGGCCUCGUAAUUGGAAUGAGUACACUUUAAAUCCUUAAACGAGGAUCUAUUGGAGGGCAAGUCUGGUGCCAGCAGCCGCGGUAAUUCCAGCUCCAAUAGCGUAUAUUAAAGUUGUUGCGGUUAAAAAGCUCGUAGUUGGAUCUCGGUGCCGGACCGGCGGUCCGCCUCGUGCGGUCUCACUGCCGGCCCCGGAGCCAUCCNGCCGGCCGUCCCUUGGUGCUCUUNGCUGAGUGUCUUGGGUGACCGGAACGUUUACUUUGAACAAAUUAGAGUGCUCCAAGCAGGCGCGUCCCGCCCGCAUAGCCCAGCAUGGAAUAAUGGAAUAGGACCUCGGUUCUAUUUUGUUGGUUUUCGGAACCCGAGGUAAUGAUUAAUAGGGACAGACGGGGGCAUUCGUAUUGCGGCGCUAGAGGUGAAAUUCUUGGACCGUCGCAAGACGAACUACUGCGAAAGCAUUUGCCAAGNAUGUUUUCAUUAAUCAAGAACGAAAGUUAGAGGUUCGAAGGCGAUCAGAUACCGCCCUAGUUCUAACCAUAAACGAUGCCGACCAGCGAUCCGCCGGAGUUCCUCCGAUGACUCGGCGGGCAGCUUCCGGGAAACCAAAGUGUUUGGGUUCCGGGGGAAGUAUGGUUGCAAAGCUGAAACUUAAAGGAAUUGACGGAAGGGCACCACCAGGAGUGGAGCCUGCGGCUUAAUUUGACUCAACACGGGAAAACUCACCCGGCCCGGACACNGGAAGGAUUGACAGAUUGAGAGCUCUUUCUUGAUUCNGUGGGUGGUGGUGCAUGGCCGUUCUUAGUUGGUGGAGCNAUUUGUCUGGUUAAUUCCGAUAACGAAC